UGGCCUAUAGUCUAAUGGUAAGGAUACGAGAUUGUCAUUCUCGAGGUAGCGGUUCGAUUCCCCUUGGGCCAG